rnacentral:lncRNA from 1 species
UGGAUGAAGCUGUCUUGUUUUAGAUAGAAUAAUACCUUGGAGCGUAAUUGCUUUUCCUCUUCAGUAAGUUCUGUUGGUAGGAUUUGUGAAGUCGUUGGGGGUGAUGGAAUCAAAUUUGCGUAUGCUUGGUUCUCCGGUUGAGCAACCCACGAAGCCUGUGUCUGAGAGUUCAGCGGCGUAGCAGCAAUAAUGGGGUAUUGUGAGUUUGCACCGUAAGAGUAGGCAUUACGAUUGGGAUUAAAAGGUGAUGAAGUUAUCACCACGUUUUCAUCCCAAGUGGGUUGUUGUGACGCAGUAAUACUUUCAAUUGAUGUAUCACUUCGAAGGGGCAUUUGGGUCAUGCCCGCAUCCCCGCGGAAUCGCUUAAGCGGUGGUGUAUUGGAGAAGAUUUCAGCAUUUGGCAUGACAUGCUGCAGUGGUGCUGGAUUGACAUAGUUUGUGCUAUUGUUCACAGCAGUUGUUGCUGUUUGGGUCAUGGGGAUAUAACUCGGUUGUAAUAAAAGAUUUGGCUGUUGCGCCGAUGACUUGUUAUAUGCAUUGUUCAUCAACGAAAGUUCCUGUGAGUUAUUAGAUUGACUUUGGGAGUUAUUGAAUUGCUUCUUCUCAGAGGAAGACUUUGCAUCUUUGAACACCAGGCCUAGCUUCUCAAAUUCAACUUUGGCUUUCAUAUAAUGCACGUCAGAUGGGAAUUUCACUUGAAAUCUUUUCAUCACCUAAAUUUAUUAACAACAAAAUACGCUUCAUCAACACUCCAUUUUUUUUUUUAAAAAAAGAGGCCUCAAUGUGAUUUUGAAUAAAUCUGCUUUUGUUUUACUUACAUUAUUAGUGAAAGCACGAAUAUUCAUACACGGAGCGCGUGAAAGCAGAGUUAGACAUUUUUCCUUCGUUCCCGGUAUCAAUUGGUGCCAGAGAUCUAACAAGUUUAUACUUUGCUGUUUGUUUGUUAAAAAUAUUGAAUUUUUCUAGCAAUAUGGUUUCAUGUCGCGUACAAUUAAUUCUUCGUGUUGACGAAUUUGAAGCAAUCCAGACGUUAAUGAGAGUGUAAAACCUCCAUCUGAAUAAUGUGACCAGUUGAUAUGGGAGGAAUCUGUAGUAUACGAAUCCUCAGCUACAGAGUACUUAACAAUUGGGAAAAUGUUCAUGUUUGUUUAUGUUUGAAUAUGAGAAGACGCGUUAGACUGAACCUCAUUUAUCUGAUAACGCAGUACGUUCCGUCACGGUGUAUUACUUUUGUUUACAUUUAUGAGUUGACCUGAAAACGACUAGACUUUAUGGAAUGUAAGUCUUGUUAUCACAAUAUAUUACAUAUGAUUGUAAUUUGCCAUAAGGAAACUAUUUCUUCAAUCUGUAUUGAGGAAUAUCUGAUUGUUCAUUAAUUUCUCAAGUCUCUUCAAACAACAGUAUUUUGAGAGAAAGGAAAUUUUAUGAGCAGUUUCUUCUUUUACUAAUCAAUCCCUUUAAAAUAUUUUUAUGCCUUCAUUUCAUCCUUGGUAUCUACACUUAUAUAAAAAUUUUAGGCAUAUUUGCCUGUUAAAGGGAAACGCAAGAUACGGACUUGCACUGCUUUUAAAUUAUGCGUUUUUUCCAUCAGAAUGAUAUUUUUUUUCCUU